rnacentral:rRNA from 1 species
GACAGAGGGUGCAAACGUUGUUCGGAAUUACUGGGCGUAAAGCGUGCGCAGGCGGUUUUGUAAGCCAGAUGUGAAAGCCCCGGGCUUAACCUGGGAAUGGCAUUUGGGACUGCAAGGCUGGAGUACGGCAGAGGGAGGUGGAAUUCCAGGUGUAGCAGUGAAAUGCGUAGAUAUCUGGAGGAACACCGAUGGCGAAGGCAGCCUCCUGGGCUAGUACUGACGCUCAUGCACGAAAGCGUGGGGAGCAAACAGG